rnacentral:rRNA from 1 species
GAUGAACGCUGGCGGCGUGCCUAAUACAUGCAAGUCGAGCGAACAGACGUGGAGCUUGCUCCUCUGACGUUAGCGGCGGACGGGUGAGUAACACGUGGAUAACCUACCUAUAAGACUGGGAUAACUUCGGGAAACCGGAGCUAAUACCGGAUAAUAUAUUGAACCGCAUGGUUCAAUAGUGAAAGACGGUUUUGCUGUCACUUAUAGAUGGAUCCGCGCCGCAUUAGCUAGUUGGUAAGGUAACAGCUUACCAAGGCAACGAUGCGUAGCCGACCUGAGAGGGUGAUCGGCCACACUGGAACUGAGACACGGUCCAGACUCCUACGGGAGGCAGCAGUAGGGAAUUUUCCGCAAUGGGCGAAAGCCUGACGGAGCAACGCCGCGUGAGUGAUGAAGGUCUUCGGAUCGUAAAACUCUGUUAUUAGGGAAGAACAAAUGUGUAAGUAACUAUGCACGUCUUGACGGUACCUAAUCAGAAAGCCACGGCUAACUACGUG